ACGGGGGGAGCAAGCGUUGUUCGGAUUUACUGGGCGUAAAGGGCGCGUAGGCGGCGCAACAAGUCACUUGUGAAAUCUCCGGGCUUAACCCGGAGCGGCCAAGUGAUACUGUCGUGCUAGAGUGCGGAAGGGGCUACUGGAAUUCUCGGUGUAGCGGUGAAAUGCGUAGAUAUCGAGAGGAACACCUGCGGCGAAGGCGGGUAGCUGGGCCGACACUGACGCUGAGGCGCGAAAGCCAGGGGAGCGAACGGG
rnacentral:rRNA from 1 species